rnacentral:rRNA from 3 species
CUUCCGUAGGGUGAACCUGCGGAAGGAUCAUUG